AAAAAAAAUACUUAAACUGUUUCAAAAGUCCAAUAAAACAGAGCAAUCAUUUUAAUAUGUUAACCCAAUUUACUUGUGAAUAUUGGACAAAGGCAAUACUCAAACAAAGUGUAUACAAUCCCCACUUCUUCAUUGCAGAGUAACAUAUAUAGAUACAUGUUACUUGUAUUCAGUAACAAAAAAAAUCAUAUACAUUGUACACAUUCUUAAUUAUUUCUCCUCUGUGCUUUUUUGUUGCAGAUUAUACUAUGCUUUUAUUGACAGAAUCAAAUAUUUUAUCUUAAGCAUAACAUUCUGUAUCAAUAUUGACCAUAAGUAACACGACUUACAGUUAAAGACAUGAAGUAUAAGUUUCCUUUGAUAAAAAAGUCAAAUAUUUGCUGAAAUAUCACUUUAUUAUCAAAUUCUGAAAUAUUACAUGUACUUAAUGUUAGCAAGAUAUAUCUAGUUGAAUGUACAUUACAUUUCUUUUGUAAUAAAAUGUUGAUGUGGAUGUAGUUACAUGUGUUAUAACGAUGGUUUGUGUAAUUACAGGAAAAGAAAAAGAGGAGGAGGGACAGAAAUCAUGAAGCCAUUACUGACCGGAAACAAAGUGAAUUGAACAUUAAACUACUCAGCUGUAUGAUGAUAUAUAUAAUGAACAAUUUUAUAUCAAACUACGCAUGUUUUGGCCCGAUGACAAAUCUUUAUUGCUUUAUAUAUUGGACCCUAGGCUUGUUUAGACACUGUAUGCAGCAAGUACUUUCAGUACUUUGAUUCGAAGAAGCGCAUGUCUAACUGCUAAUUCAGCAACUGUUUUCAAUUGUGUACUCUCAUUUUAUAUAUUAAUUAUACAUAUACAUUUUACAUAUAUGUUUAAGAAGUUAUUGAUAUAUUUAUACCGAACUAGACUAUGUGCACACAAGUCUACGCAAAAUGUUAAUAAAUUGGACUAAUUUU
rnacentral:misc_RNA from 1 species